UUUCAAAAUGGCGGCAAAGAUGGCGGACAUUGUGGCACAUCGAAGUUUCGGAAAUUCUGUCGCUCUCUUAUAUUCUGAGGCUUGUUUGUGUUAGAGGUCUGGAAUCACUUGGCAAGAAUAUGUAGAUUUCUACCCUGCUACAUUGCCUUCAGUUAUGUUCCAGAUCUACAUACAUGUAGGAUACUCAUAUUUAUCAGUUGGAUUGUUAUACUAAAGUUCCUCAAAAUGCAGGUGAAGGCUUCUUUUGAAGACCCACUUCAGGGACAAGCACUAGAAUGUCACUUAGUGAUUUUUGAAAGUUUUCCUGGCAUUUUUCAUUGUAAGUGGCAUAUAUUGCUUCCCCAAUGCUUUUUAAUUUCCUUUUUGUGACCUUAGGUUCUCUCUGACAUUGUCUCUUGACAUUUGUGUUAAGUUCAGUCAGAGGUCCUUUCCUAGCCCCUCUGCAAAACUUACUUAUAGGGAAGGUAGAUUGUAAUUGAGAGUUGAAUAAAAGACAGGCCUGGCA